rnacentral:rRNA from 1 species
AUUGAACGCUGGCGGCAGGCCUAAUACAUGCAAGUCGAACGAGUGGCGGACGGGUGAGUAAUGUCUGGGAAACUGCCUGACGGAGGGGGAUAACUACUGGAAACGGUAGAUAAUACUGCAUACCAUCAGAUGUGCCCAGAUUGGAUUAGCUUGUUGGGGGGGUAACGGCUCACCAAGGCGACGAUCCCUAUCUGGUCUGAGAGGAUGACCAGCCACACGGGCACUGAGACACGGACCAGACUCCGACGGGAGGAAGCAGUGGGGAAUAUUGGACAAUGGGCGCAAGCCUGAGGGAGCAAGGCCGCGUGUAUGAAGAAGGCUGUCGGGUCGGAAAGUACUUUUAGCGGGGAGGCGUUACCCGCAGAGGAAGCGCCGGCUAACUCCGUGCCAGCAGCCGCGGUAAUAC